CGCGUAGGCGGGAUGGCAAGUCGGUCGUGAAAUCCUUCGGCUCAACCGAAGAACGUCGAUCGAUACUGCUGUUCUUGAGGAUUGCAGAGGAGACUGGAAUUCCCGGUGUAGCGGUGAAAUGUGUAGAGAUCGGGAGGAACACCGGUGGCGAAGGCGGGUCUCUGGGCAAUUCCUGACGCUGAGGCGCGAAAGCGUGGGGAGCAAACGGGAUUAGAUACCCCGGUAGUCCACGCUGUAAACGAUGACGACUAGGUGUGGGGGGUUCAGUCCCUCCGUGCCGCAGCUAACGCAUUAAGUCGUCCGCCUGGAGAGUACGGCCGCAAGGUUGAA
rnacentral:rRNA from 1 species